UACAGAGGGUGCGAGCGUUGUCCGGAAUCACUGGGCGUAAAGGGCGCGUAGGCGGUGACUUAAGCGUGUGGUGAAAGCCUGGGGCUCAACCCCGGGUCGGCCGUGCGAACUGUUUUGCUUGAGCACUGUAGAGGCAGGCGGAAUUCCGGGUGUAGCGGUGGAAUGCGUAGAGAUCCGGAAGAACCCCCGUUGCGAAGGCGGCCUUGUGGGCAGUAACUUACACUGAGGCGCGACAGCGUGGGGAGCAAACAGG
rnacentral:rRNA from 1 species